rnacentral:rRNA from 1 species
UACAGAGGUGGCAAGCGUUGUUCGGAAUUACUGGGCGUAAAGGGCGCGUAGGUGGCCUUGUUAGUCAGACGUGAAAUCCCCAAGCUUAACUUGGGAACUGCGUCUGAUACUGCAAGGCUUGAGUUCGGGAGAGGGAUGUGGAAUUCCAGGUGUAGCGGUGAAAUGCGUAGAUAUCUGGAGGAACACCGGUGGCGAAGGCGACAUCCUGGACCGGUAUUGACGCUGAGGCGCGAAAGCCAGGGGAGCAAACGGG